UUUAGGUAGCGCCUCGUGAAUUCAUCUCCGGGGGUAGAGCACUGUUUCGGCAAGGGGGUCAUCCCGACUUACCAACCCGAUGCAAACUGCGAAUACCGGAGAAUGUUAUCACGGGAGACACACGGCGGGUGCUAACGUCCGUCGUGAAGAGGGAAACAACCCAGACCGCCAGCUAAGGUCCCAAAGUCAUGGUUAAGUGGGAAACGAUGUGGGAAGGCCCAGACAGCCAGGAUGUUGGCUUAGAAGCAGCCAUCAUUUAAAGAAAGCGUAAUAGCUCACUGGUCGAGUCGGCCUGCGCGGAAGAUGUAACGGGGCUAAACCAUGCACCGAAGCUGCGGCAGCGACGCUUAUGCGUUGUUGGGUAGGGGAGCGUUCUGUAAGCCUGUGAAGGUGUGCUGUGAGGCAUGCUGGAGGUAUCAGAAGUGCGAAUGCUGACAUAAGUAACGAUAAAGCGGGUGAAAAGCCCGCUCGCCGGAAGACCAAGGGUUCCUGUCCAACGUUAAUCGGGGCAGGGUGAGUCGACCCCUAAGGCGAGGCCGAAAGGCGUAGUCGAUGGGAAACAGGUUAAUAUUCCUGUACUUGGUGUUACUGCGAAGGGGGGACGGAGAAGGCUAUGUUGGCCGGGCGACGGUUGUCCCGGUUUAAGCGUGUAGGCUGGUUUUCCAGGCAAAUCCGGAAAAUCAAGGCUGAGGCGUGAUGACGAGGCACUACGGUGCUGAAGCAACAAAUGCCCUGCUUCCAGGAAAAGCCUCUAAGCAUCAGGUAACAUCAAAUCGUACCCCAAACCGACACAGGUGGUCAGGUAGAGAAUACCAAGGCGCUUGAGAGAACUCGGGUGAAGGAACUAGGCAAAAUGGUGCCGUAACUUCGGGAGAAGGCACGCUGAUAUGUAGGUGAAGCGACUUGCUCGUGGAGCUGAAAUCAGUCGAAGAUACCAGCUGGCUGCAACUGUUUAUUAAAAACACAGCACUGUGCAAACACGAAAGUGGACGUAUACGGUGUGACGCCUGCCCGGUGC
rnacentral:rRNA from 1 species